rnacentral:rRNA from 1 species
CCUACGGGUGGCAGCAGUAGGGAAUAUUGCUCAAUGGGGGAAACCCUGAAGCAGCAACGCCGCGUGGAGGAUGAAGGUUUUCGGAUUGUAAACUCCUUUUGUUAGAGAAGAUAAUGACGGUAUCUAACGAAUAAGCACCGGCUAACUCCGUGCCAGCAGCCGCGGUAAUAAGGAGGGUGCCAGCGUUACUCGGAAUCACUGGGCGUAAAGGGGGCGUAGGCGGGUUAGCAAGUCAGAUGUUAAAUCCUAGGGCUUAACCAUAGAACUGCAUUUGAAACGGGUAUUGUAGAGUAUGGGAGAGGUAGGUGGAAGGCUUGGUGUAGGGGUAAAAUGCAUAGAGAUCAAGAAGAAGA